AUGAAGAACGCAGCGAAAUGCGAUAAGUAAUGUGAAUUGCAGAAUUCAGUGAAUCAUCGAAUCUUUGAACGCACAUUGCGCCCGCUGGUAUUCCGGCGGGCAUGCCUGUUCGAGCGUCAUUUCAACCCUCAAGCUCUCCGGAGUUUGGUGUUGGGCCCCGCCGCCCCGGCGGGCCCUAAAGUCAGUGGCGGUGCCGUCCGGCUCCGAGCGUAGUAAUUCUUCUCGCUCUGGAGGUCCGGUCGUGUGCUCGCCAGCAACCCCCAAUUUUUUUCAGGUUGACCUCGGAUCAGGUAGGGAUACCCGCUGAACUUAAGCAUAUCAAUAAGCGGAGGA
rnacentral:misc_RNA from 1 species